rnacentral:rRNA from 1 species
GACGAACGCUGGCGGCGUGCUUAACACAUGCAAGUCGAACGAUGAUGCCCAGCUUGCUGGGCGGAUUAGUGGCGAACGGGUGAGUAACACGUGAGUAACCUGCCCUUGACUUCGGGAUAACUCCGGGAAACCGGGGCUAAUACCGGAUAUGAGCCGUCCUCGCAUGGGGGUGGUUGGAAAGUUUUUCGGUCAGGGAUGGGCUCGCGGCCUAUCAGCUUGUUGGUGGGGUGAUGGCCUACCAAGGCGACGACGGGUAGCCGGCCUGAGAGGGCGACCGGCCGCACUGGGACUGAGACACGGCCCAGACUCCUACGGGAGGCAGCAGUGGGGAAUAUUGCACAAUGGGCGAAAGCCUGAUGCAGCGACGCCGCGUGAGGGAUGAAGGCCUUCGGGUUGUAAACCUCUUUCAGCAGGGAAGAAGCGCAAGUGACGGUACCUGCAGAAGAAGCGCCGGCUAACUACGUGCCAGCAGCCGCGGUAAUACGUAGGGCGCAAGCGUUGUCCGGAAUUAUUGGGCGUAAAGAGCUCGUAGGCGGUUUGUCGCGUCUGGUGUGAAAACUCGAGGCUCAACCUCGAGCUUGCAUCGGGUACGGGCAGACUAGAGUGCGGUAGGGGAGACUGGAAUUCCUGGUGUAGCGGUGGAAUGCGCAGAUAUCAGGAGGAACACCGAUGGCGAAGGCAGGUCUCUGGGCCGCAACUGACGCUGAGGAGCGAAAGCAUGGGGAGCGAACAGG